rnacentral:rRNA from 1 species
CGGGUGAGUAACGCGUGGGUAACCUACUCUGUACACACGGAUAACAUACCGAAAGGUAAUGCUAAUACAGGAUAAUAUAUUUGAGAGGCAUCUCUUGAAUAUCAAAGGUGAGCCAGUACAGGAUGGACCCGCGUCUGAUUAGCUAGUUGGUAAGGUAACGGCUUACCAAGGCGACGAUCAGUAGCCGACCUGAGAGGGUGAUCGGCCACAUUGGAACUGAGACACGGUCCAA